GAUGAACGCUGGCGGCGUGCUUAACACAUGCAAGUCGAACGAGAAAGCACCUUCGGGUGUGAGUAGAGUGGCGAACGGGUGAGUAACACGUGAGCAACCUGCCUCUCACUUCGGAAUAACUCAGGGAAACCUGUGCUAAUACCGGAUACUCCGUACAUUCCGCAUGCUAUGUACGGGAAAGCCUUGUGCGGUGAGAGAUGGGCUCGCGGCCCAUUAGGUAGUUGGUGGGGUAACGGCCUACCAAGCCGACGAUGGGUAGCCGGGUUGAGAGACCGACCGGCCACAUUGGGACUGAGACACGGCCCAGACUCCUACGGGAGGCAGCAGUGGGGAAUUUUGCGCAAUGGGGGAAACCCUGACGCAGCAACGCCGCGUGCGGGAUGAAGGCCUUCGGUUGUAAACCGCUUCAGUAGGGAAGAAAAUGACGGUACCUACAGAAGAAGCUCCGGCUAACUACGUGCCAGCAGCCGCGGUAAACGUAGCGUG
rnacentral:rRNA from 1 species